rnacentral:rRNA from 1 species
AUGAACGCUGGCGGCGUGCCUAACACAUGCAAGUCGAACGGAGUCCAGCCUUUAAGACCUUCGGGUCAAAGAGGGGAAGACUGAGUGGCGGUCGGGUGAGUAACACGUGGGCAACCUGGCUCAUAGAGGGGGAUAACAGAGAGAAAUUUCUGCUAAUACCGCAUAAGCACACACUGCCGCAUGGCAGAGGGUGAAGAGAGAAUCGCUAUGAGAUGGACCCGCGUCUGAUUAGCCAGUUGGCAGGGUAAGAGCCUACCAAAGCGACGAUCAGUAGCCGAUCUGAGAGGAUGAACGGCCACAUUGGGACUGAGACACGGCCCAAACUCCUACGGGAGGCAGCAGAGGGGGAUAUUGCACAAUGAAGGGAACCCUGAUGCAGCGACGCCGCGUAAGUGAAGAAGUAUUUCGGUAUGUAAAGCUCUAUCAGCAGGGAAGAGAAUGACAGUACCUGAAUAAGAAGCCACGGCUAACUACGUG